rnacentral:rRNA from 1 species
UACGUAGGGUGCAAGCGUUGUCCGGAUUUAUUGGGCGUAAAGAGCUCGUAGGCGGUUUGUCGCGUCUGCCGUGAAAGUCCGGGGCUCAACUCCGGAUCUGCGGUGGGUACGGGCAGACUAGAGUGCAGUAGGGGAGACUGGAAUUCCUGGUGUAGCGGUGAAAUGCGCAGAUAUCAGGAGGAACACCGAUGGCGAAGGCAGGUCUCUGGGCUGUAACUGACGCUGAGGAGCGAAAGCAUGGGGAGCGAACAGG